CUUAUUGGAAACCACAGGAGGACUAGUUAGAAGGCAGGUUACCACACCCUCAGGAAGUCUCGGGAUAACCCUGCGAAUAUAUAACCCCCAUUACUCUGGUGCAGUCUGAAGUCUGAAAUUUAGAAUCCUUAGCCUUCAGGAUUUACUACAUAUUUUGAAGGAAUUCAGCCGACUGAAGUCUGGGACACAAUUCAUACCACCUUUUCUAACUGGAUGACUUCCAUGGAAGGAACAGCCACCUUCUGGGUAUUGUUUCUGAGAGCACACUGGAGUAAUCCAUCUCUUUACGGAUUCUGAUUCCUGAGAUAUCUGACACACAUCAGUUGGGACCAGGAGUUCUCCUAGGAAACAGAUUCUAAACUGGAGUUUACAAGUCAACCAGCAAUGAAGACCAGCUCACAGAUAGUCCUCCACUGAAGAUCCAGAGGCAUUAUAACAACAGCACCUGUUGCCUGUCUGGCUUACGAGCAAUAGUUUUUAGAACUCAACUAUUUAAAAUCUGCUACUUGUGUGCACCCUUCCUCUUGGGUACCUCUCUUUGGGAGAACCCGCUGCCACGUGGUGAGGAGCCCCACAGAGAGAACCAUGAAGCAAGAAGGAAUGUUAUCUGCCUCCAACAAUCAGCUGGGGCCGUCCAGCAGCCUCGAGAGUCAAUUUAGAAGUGGACACUCCUCCAGACAGAGAGAGACAGAGCAUUAACGGGGGAGGGGCAGAGAGAGAGGGAAACACAGAAUCG